UACGGAGGGUGCAAGCGUUGUCCGGAAUCACUGGGCGUAAAGGGCGCGUAGGCGGCUCAUGAAGGCUGUGGUGAAAGUCCGGGGCUCAACCUCGGAUCGGCCGUGGCGACUCGUGGGCUGGAGCACUGUAGAGGCGGGUGGAAUUCCGGGUGUAGCGGUGGAAUGCGUAGAUAUCAGGAGGAACACCGAUGGCGAAGGCAGGUCUCUGGGCUGACACUGACGCUCAUGCACGAAAGCGUGGGGAGCAAACAGG
rnacentral:rRNA from 1 species